rnacentral:rRNA from 1 species
GAUGAACGCUGGCGGCGUGCCUAAUACAUGCAAGUCGAGCGAAUGGAUUAAGAGCUUGCUCUUAUGAAGUUAGCGGCGGACGGGUGAGUAACACGUGGGUAACCUGCCCAUAAGACUGGGAUAACUCCGGGAAACCGGGGCUAAUACCGGAUAACAUUUUGAACCGCAUGGUUCGAAAUUGAAAGGCGGCUUCGGCUGUCACUUAUGGAUGGACCCGCGUCGCAUUAGCUAGUUGGUGAGGUAUCGGCUCACCAAGGCAACGAUGCGUAGCCGACCUGAGAGGGUGAUCGGCCACAAUGGGACUGAGACACGGCCCAGACUCCUACGUGAGGCAGCAGUAGGGAAUCUUCCGCAAUGGACGAAAGUCUGACGGAGCAACGCCGCGUGAGUGAUGAAGGCUUUCGGGUCGUAAAACUCUGUUGUUAGGGAAGAACAAGUGCUAGUUGAAUAAGCUGGCACCUUGACGGUACCUAACCAGAAAGCCACGGCUAACUACGUGCCAGCCGCCGCAGUAA